rnacentral:rRNA from 1 species
GAUGAACGCUAGCUACGGGCUUAACACAUGCAAGUCGAGGGGUAACAAGAGGAAAGCUUGCUUUUCUUGUUGACGACCGGCGCACGGGUGAGUAACGCGUAUCCAACCUGCCUAUAACUAGGGAAUAACCUUGCGAAAGUAAGACUAAUACCCUAUGAUUUCCUUUGAUGACAUCAGAUUAGGAAUAAAGAUUUAUCGGUUAUAGAUGGGGAUGCGUCUGAUUAGCUUGUUGGCGGGGUAACGGCCCACCAAGGCAACGAUCAGUAGGGGUUCUGAGAGGAGGGUCCCCCACAUUGGAACUGAGACACGGUCCAAACUCCUACGGGAUGCAGCAGUGAGGAAUAUUGGUCAAUGGGCGGAAGCCUGAACCAGCCAAGUAGCGUGCAGGAUGACGGCCCUAUGGGUUGUAAACUGCUUUUAUACAGGAAUAAAGUUAGCCACGUGUGGUUAUUUGUAGGUACUGUAUGAAUAAGGACCGGCUAAUUCCGUGCCAGCCGCCGCAGUAA